UCGGGUUUGUAAUAAAAUGAUCAACACGACGGGGGCCACACGUGGAGCAGGACCUGACUACCUUUCCGGAGCACUGAGAUCACCAAAACUAAUUGUGGGUUUCCUGUUGCUUAAUCUUCAGUGUUCUAUGUUGUGUCGUGUGUACCAUUAUUUGUCUGUUUGGUAUUUUUUUUUCUUUUUAGCCAUGGCGUUGUCAGAUUACUUUUUCGAUCUAUGAGUUUAAAUGUCCCUCUGGUAUCUUUCACCCCUCUUCAAAACAGCAUUAUUACAAGAAAAUGCAGACAUGUCUGUACUUAAUGAAAACAAAAUUCAUUUAAUUAAAGAAAUAAAGCGAGUACAAUUUUUAUUAAAAUGUGAUUUUAAACGAAACAGAUAACAAAGUUUUCAAAUGGUGAAAAACUUUAACUACUUGCUGUGUUUAAAAUGUUAGAAUAAAAUCUCUGUAAUAAAGUCUGUGUGUUUUAUGUGAUGUGCCAAAAUAUAUUAUCAUUUAUCAUGAAACAAUGGAAUUAAACAAAAAUGAAAUAUCUGUCACCAAUAUUUCCUUAUGGUAUGUGUAAAUAAUAACUUGUCUUUUUAUUCACUUCUUUUUUUAUUUGAUAUUAUUGAACUUUGACGAUUUUAAAUUUCUCUUCCUCAAAAAA
rnacentral:lncRNA from 1 species